rnacentral:rRNA from 1 species
AACGAACGCUGGCGGCAGGCCUAACACAUGCAAGUCGAACGGAUGUAGCAAUACAUUAGUGGCGCACGGGAGAGUAACACGUGGGAAUCUACCUUUUGGUUCGGAAUAACGUCGGGAAACUGACGCUAAUACCGGAUAAGCCCUACGGGGGAAAGUUUUCCGCCAAAAGAUGAGCCCGCGCUAGAUUAGCUUGUUGGUGAGGUAAUGGCUCACCAAGGCUACGAUCUAUAGCUGGUCUGAGAGGAUGACCAGCCUCACUGGGACUGAGACACGGCCCAGACUCCUACGGGAGGCAGCAGUGGGGAAUAUUGGACAAUGGGGGAAACCCUGAUCCAGCCAUGCCGCGUGAAUGAUGAGGGCCUUCGGGUUGUAAAGUUCUUUUGGUAGGGACGAUGAUGACGGUACCUACAGAAUAAGCUCCGGCUAACUUCGUGCCAGCAGCCGCCGCAG